AAUAUUUUGAUAUUAUGGGCCAGAUUUACUAAUAGCUUGCACCAUAGUACUGUCAGGAUUACUAAAGAAAUGCAGUGAUGAAAAAUUGGGCACAUUUUUUUUUGCAACUAACAUUACUGCAUAUUUGUGGUAGUUUAUAUAUUUUAACCCAUUUUUGUGCUUGGCAAUAAUGCUGCUAGAAAAUGCAGGAUAUGUUGGUCAUUAUGUGUCUGUGGAUCAACAGCUCAACUUUACACUUCAGUCUACACUUUUAUGGGAUUUUGGACUCAUGCUAAUUUGACCUGUUUAGUAAAUCUGGCCUUAUAUUCUCAAUGACAACUCGCUACUGUUUUUACUAGUGUUGAUGAAUGUAAUAUUAUUUUCCUACAGAUGCAAAGGGAAAUCUUGCACUAAAGCUGUUACCUGUUUUGCUUCUACCUCCACCCUACAAAAUUGGCAGAAAAACAGUCCGACCCAGCAAUGAUGAAAGCAAAAAAGCUUUCAUUGACAUUCAGCCUGUUGGAACAAAUAUGGAGUACCUCCAGCAGGCUGAAGCAUCAAGACCUUACCCUUAUGUCCUGUAACUUGAAAAUGGACACAUUGCGUCGCGGGCAUUUGUCAUCCUCGCAGGAGAAGCUUUGGAACAAAGCACUAUUGUUUAAGGGGAAGUCGUGGACUAAUGGUUAGAGAGUUGGACUCGCAAUUUAAGGGUUGUGUGUUCGAGUCUCGGGCCGACAGGAAUUGUUGGUUGAGGGGAUUGCAUGUACAGUUCUCUCUCCACCUUCAAUACCACAACUUGGGUGCCCUUGAGCAAGGCAUCGAACCCCCAACUGCUCCCAAUUUUUGAGUUGGAGGGAAGUGAAUCCCCAACAGUGAAAUUUUUGCACUGGGCACUACAUUCUUGCAAGUAGAUUAUAAGAGGUUCUUUGAACAAACAGUGGUUCAAGAACACGAGGUAGCAUUUUAGUUUAAGUUUUAUUUGCACAUGAGAUUUUUGUUCUGUUU